AUUGAACGCUGGCGGCAUGCCUUACACAUGCAGGUCGAACGGUAACGGGCCUUCGGGUGCCGACGAGUGGCGAACGGGUGAGUAAUGCAUCGGAACGUACCUUUCAGUGGGGGAUAACGUAGCGAAAGUUACGCUAAUACCGCAUAUUCUGUGAGCAGGAAAGCAGGGGAUCGCAAGACCUUGCGCUGAUUGAGCGGCCGAUGUCAGAUUAGCUAGUUGGUGAGGUAAAGGCUCACCAAGGCGACGAUCUGUAGCGGGUCUGAGAGGAUGAUCCGCCACACUGGAACUGAGACACGGUCCAGACUCCUACGGGAGGCAGCAGUGGGGAAUCUUGGACAAUGGGGGCAACCCUGAUCCAGCCAUGCCGCGUGAGUGAAGAAGGCCUUCGGGUUGUAAAGCUCUUUCGGUCGGGAAGAAAUCGCAUGGGUUAAUACCCUGUGCGGAUGACGGUACCGGCAUAAGAAGCACCGGCUAACUACGUGCCAGCCGCCGCAGUAACAC
rnacentral:rRNA from 1 species